rnacentral:rRNA from 1 species
UAGGGAAUCUUCCGCAAUGGACGCAAGUCUGACGGAGCAACGCCGCGUGAGUGAAGAAGGAUUUCGGUUCGUAAAACUCUGUUGUUAGAGAAGAACAGCGCAUAGAGUAACUGUUAUGCGUGUGACGAUAUCUAACCAGAAAGCCACGGCUAACUACGUGCCAGCAGCCGCGGUAAUACGUAGGUGGCAAGCGUUGUCCGGAUUUAUUGGGCGUAAAGCGAGCGCAGGCGGUCAAUUAAGUCUGAUGUGAAAGCCCCCGGCUCAACCGGGGAGGGUCAUUGGAAACUGGUUGACUUGAGUGCAGAAGAGGAGAGUGGAAUUCCAUGUGUAGCGGUGAAAUGCGUAGAUAUAUGGAGGAACACCAGUGGCGAAGGCGACUCUCUGGUCUGUAACUGACGCUGAGGCUCGAAAGCGUGGGUAGCAAACAGG